rnacentral:rRNA from 1 species
GACAGAGGGUGCAAGCGUUGUUCGGAAUCAUUGGGCGUAAAGCGAGCGUAGGCGGCUUUGUAAGUCGGACGUGAAAGCCUGGGGCUUAACCCCAGAAGUGCAUCCGAAACUACAUGGCUUGAGUCCUGGAGAGGGUGGUGGAAUUCCCAGUGUAGAGGUGAAAUUCGUAGAUAUUGGGAGGAACACCAGUGGCGAAGGCGGCCACCUGGACAGUGACUGACGCUGAGGUUCGAAAGCGUGGGUAGCAAACAGG